GACAGAGGGUGCAAACAUUGCUCGGAAUUACUGGGCGUAAAGCGCGUGUAGGCGGGCUGAUAAGUCGGACGUGAAAUCCCUGGGCUCAACCCAGGAACUGCAUCCGAAACUGUCAGUCUGGAGUGGUGGAGAGGGAAGCAGAAUUCCUGGUGUAGAGGUGAAAUUCGUAGAUAUCAGGAGGAACACCGGUGGCGAAGGCGGCUUCCUGGACACUAACUGACGCUGAGACGCGAAAGCGUGGGGAGCAAACAGG
rnacentral:rRNA from 1 species